UACGUAGGGUGCAAGCGUUAAUCGGAAUUACUGGGCGUAAAGCGUGCGCAGGCGGUUAUGUAAGACAGGUGUGAAAUCCCCGGGCUUAACCUGGGAACUGCGUUUGUGACUGCAUAGCUAGAGUACGGUAGAGGGGGAUGGAAUUCCGCGUGUAGCAGUGAAAUGCGUAGAUAUGCGGAGGAACACCGAUGGCGAAGGCAAUCCCCUGGACCUGUACUGACGCUCAUGCACGAAAGCGUGGGGAGCAAACGAGG
rnacentral:rRNA from 1 species